rnacentral:sRNA from 1 species
AGUGAAUGGAAUUUUGGGCAGUCGAAAAAUUCCAAAAACAAAUGCGCGCACACGCAAAAGUGAAAUAAUUAGCAUAAUCUCGAUUCCGAGCGACGUUCGUUUUCUGAAUUCCAAAUGAAGUCAUGAGCAGCAGAUUGUAUGAAAACCAACAGCAACAACGAAGGCAGCAGCUAAACAACAAGACAAAAGUCGUUGUCGCAUUAUUACAACAAGAAAAGCUGUAAAAUAAAAAAAAAAAG